AUUGAACGCUGGCGGCAUGCUUUACACAUGCAAGUCGAACGGCAGCGCGGGCUUCGGCCUGGCGGCGAGUGGCGAACGGGUGAGUAAUGCAUCGGAACGUGCCCAGUAGUGGGGGAUAGCCCGGCGAAAGCCGGAUUAAUACCGCAUACGACCUGAGGGUGAAAGCGGGGGACCGAAAGGCCUCGCGCUAUUGGAGCGGCCGAUGUCGGAUUAGCUAGUUGGUGGGGUAAAGGCUUACCAAGGCGACGAUCCGUAGCUGGUCUGAGAGGACGACCAGCCACACUGGGACUGAGACACGGCCCAGACUCCUACGGGAGGCAGCAGUGGGGAAUUUUGGACAAUGGGGGCAACCCUGAUCCAGCCAUGCCGCGUGCGGGAAGAAGGCCUUCGGGUUGUAAACCGCUUUUGUUCGGGAAGAAAUCCUCUGGGCUAAUACCCCGGGGGAUGACGGUACCGGAAGAAUAAGCACCGGCUAACUACGU
rnacentral:rRNA from 1 species